GUCCCAGUUCGGAUCGCAGGCUGCAACCCGCCUGCGUGAAGUUGGAAUCGCUAGUAAUCGCGGAUCAGCAUGCCGCGGUGAAUACGUUCCCGGGCCUUGUACACACCGCCCGUCACACCAUGAGAGUCGGGAACACCCGAAGUCCGUAGCCUGACCGCGAAGGGGGGCGCGGCCGAAGGUGGGUUCGAUAAUUGGGGUGAAGUCGUAACAAGGUACC
rnacentral:rRNA from 1 species